rnacentral:rRNA from 1 species
AGAGUUUGAUCCUGGCUCAGAUUGAACGCUGGCGGCAUGCUUUACACAUGCAAGUCGAACGGAUGCACGAGUGCAUCCCUGGUGGACGAGUGGAGAACGGGUGAGUAAUACAUCUUUUCGUGCCCCGCAGCACAGGGAUAACUCUGUCGAAAGAUUGGAUAAUACCUUAUACGCUCCACGGAGCAGAGCAGGGAAUCGAAAGACCUUGAUCUAUCGGAGCGGGCGAUGCUCGAUUAGCUAGUUUCUGAGGUAAAGGCUCACUGAGACGACGAUCGGUAGCUGUGCUGAUAAGACGACCAGCCACACUGUAACUGAGACACCGCCCAGACUCCUACGGGAGGCCGCAGUGCGGAAUUUUGGACAAUGCGCGAAAGCCUGAUCCAGCCAUGCCGCGUCCGGGAUGAAGGCCUUCUGGUUGUAGACCGCUUUUGGCAGAAACGAAACCGCGCUAUCUAAUACCCCGCGCUAAUGACGGUACCUCCAGAAUAAGCACCGGCUAACUUCGUGCCAGCAGCCGCGGUAAUACGUAGGGCUGCAAGCGUUAAUCGGAAUUACUGGGCGUAAAGCGUGCGCAGGCGGCUGUGUAAGUCAGGUGUGAAAUCCCCGGGCUUAACCUCGGAACUGCAUUUGUGACUGCAUAUCUAGAGUCUGUCAGAGGGGGGUGGAAUUCCGCGUGUAGCAGUGAAAUUCGUAGAGAUUGUGCAGGAACACCGAUGGCGAAGGCAGCUCCCUGGGAUAAGACUGACGCUCAUGCACGAAAGCGUGGGGAGCAAACAGGAUUAGAUACCCCGGUAGUCC